GGACAAAAUAUCACCUUUAUUGCCAGGAGAUAAACCCAGAUGAAAUGUUCAGACUGAACAUCUACAACAAACUUUCAACAUGGAGCAGACACACCAUCGCCUGGUACUGCACAGGAAACCACAGCCUGAUCGAACCCAGAUGCCGCAGACAGGGAAAACCUCCACGACAUCUCCAGAUCUGCCUGGUCUGCACAGAAGACACAGAGACGGUCAGGCACACACUCAAGGCUUGCCCUGCCUAUGCCAAAUUCUGCUCCCCAGACAUCAACUGGGAUGCCAAAACAUACAUAAUCCUUGCAAACAAGGAGACAACCUCAUCCCCUGCCAAUUACCUGAAACGCAUAGAGCUGCGAUGGCAAAUACAUGUCACACAUGCAAUGGAGGCAGAGACCUUGAACGGCCGAGGAAAAAAAGACGGGUAGGCAGGGCCAGUGAGCGGGAGCACAACGACAAUGAGGAUGCCACCUAUGCGAAAAUGAUAAUCCAACUUGCAUUUUUGCAUCCAUCA
rnacentral:lncRNA from 1 species